CUACCGGGAGCUGGUGGCCGCGCUGGACCGGGCCGAGCUGGCGGAGCUGCUGCUGGCGGCGGCCGAGCUGCGCGACCUCUACGCCUUCCUGUGCGACCUGCUCCGGAAGAACAUGGAGAAGAUCCGGAAGCCGCGCGGGGAGGCCAAGGUCAUGGUCUACUGAGCAGGAAGCCCCGCCCACCCGCUUCCGGGGCAAGCCCCGCCCCCCCC